GACCUUGUGGCGCAACGGUAGCGCGUCUGACUCCAGAUCAGAAGGGUGCGUGUUCAAAUCACGUCGGGGUCA
rnacentral:tRNA from 1 species